CACCUCUUACUCCGCGAGGGAGACAGAGUUCGUCACUAGGGUUUACGAAAUCGUUCAAAUUGUUUGGGGGCCUGUGGUUUGCAGUUUCGAAUUGCCAAUUCCGUCACAAGAAGAACUGAUCGGAGGGAUCACUGUAGGUUUCCAUCCAAUCAGUCAUGCACUCUAUUGUUAUUCAAUUUUCGCAUCUUCUAAUUGCGGAAAUAAAGUUGAUAACUAGGGUUUAUGAAAUCGAUUGAAUUUUCAUGGAGAUCUGUAGACCGCAGUUUGGAGUUGCGAAUUCCGUUGACGGAUCAGAAGCAGAGGAAGAUCCUAUUCGAAGGAACUAGUGCUAGUACCACUGUAACUGGUCGUAUAGAUGGAAAACUGAACAAUAUGGCGGUGGGAGAGAGAAAUUUCGUAUGGUUGUUUGAGGAGUUUAGUGGAAAAUCCAUAGCUUCCUCCAUCUACGUGGUAAUCAAUUCGUUGGCAGCUUUCUCUUCUCCCACUCCGACAGCGUCUCCUCCUAUUCUUCUCCUUCUGAACGCCACUUCCAAACCUCCUUUGUCUUAGAGGCCAGUGAGGUUAUGUUGGUACUGAAUGCGUUACAGCAUGUACUGUGUACAGUCGGCUCUUAUACGAGUUCAGAGAACAGAAACUCAGUCCCAUUCUGUUCUGAUCCAGAUGACCGGACCUUGCUUAAAAUUUCAAGUCUGUGGAAUAGGUCUUCAAGCACUUGCACUUUUGGGGAGUACGCAUAACUCCAUAAGCUGUUCAGGUUGGUUAGUGUUUCUUUGUAUAAAUCUGUAGAUUAUUUUACAAUUUGGAUUCAAAUCAGUGAGGGAAACAACACAAAUUUUUUGAGUCCACAGCAAUUGAAAGUCAUUGUGAUGGUACAGCAGGACCACUAUUCUGUCAAUAAAACAACGUAUUUGUGUUUUCCAAAA